GACGAACGCUGGCGGCGUGCCUAAUACAUGCGAGUAGAACGCACAGUUUAUACCGUAGCUUGCUACACCAUAAACUGUGAGUUGCGAACGGGUGAGUAACGCGUAGGUAACCUGCCUGGUAGCGGGGGAUAACUAUUGGAAACGAUAGCUAAUACCGCAUAAUAUUGAUUAUUGCAUGAUAAUUGAUUGAAAGAUGCUAUUGCAUCACUACCAGAUGGACCUGCGUUGUAUUAGCUAGUAGGUGAGGUAACGGCUCACCUAGGCGACGAUACAUAGCCGACCUGAGAGGGUGAUCGGCCACACUGGGACUGAGACACGGCCCAGACUCCUACGGGAGGCAGCAGUAGGGAAUCUUCGGCAAUGGACGAAAGUCUGACCGAGCAACGCCGCGUGAGUGAAGAAGGUUUUCGGAUCGUAAAGCUCUGUUGUAAGAGAAGAACGGGGGUGAGAGUGGAAAGUUCACACUGUGACGGUAUCUUACCAGAAAGGGACGGCUAACUACGUG
rnacentral:rRNA from 1 species